UGACUCUUGGUGGCAAACUGAAACUGGCGGCUUCAUGAUCAAACCAUUACCUGGUGCCUGGCCACAGAAACCUGGAUCUGCUACUUUUCCUUUCUUUGGGGUUCAGCCUGUCAUAGUGGAUGAAAACGGGGGUUGAAAUUGA